UGACCCUUUCAGGCUGAUUUAGGCCCUGUCUUCCUGAGGCUCACUUUGAAUGUUGUGGCAAAACCACUGACAGAGCUUUUUGAAGAGUCUAGGGAGCAAGUACAAGUCGCCCUCUUCCCUUAACUGAAGAAUCGUUCUCCAACUCUCCAUCAUCGGGAAGGUAGCUUCAGAAGGAGGCCAAGAAGAGGUCUCUCCUGAAAAGCAGUUUCUCACGGUGCAAAUGAAAGUGGAGCUGAUCAGUCUCACAUACAGAAGAAUGUUCAGAACAGUAACUUCCUGCUCUGAUCCCAACAGUGUCUACCCUCCCUAGAGCUCCACCCCUGCCUGGCCUUUGUCUGCAAUUUCCAGGGCCACCCACACCGUCCCCGCUCUCCCAGUGCCCUGGGGAGCCGCUCUCAUUUAUCAAAUGCUCCUUGUUCCCUACCACCUCUCAGCCUAUUAAACCGCUCUGUUCCCAGUCUCUGAUCUUAUCUCUUCCCCUCCUUGGCUUGAAGUUGUUGUCAAUCAUGCCACUCCAUCUUUUUUUCUUUUCUUCCCCCACCACCCCCCA
rnacentral:lncRNA from 1 species